GAAAGCAUAGGGAGCAAACAGAAUUAACAUCCUGGUAGUCCAUGCCAUAGACGGGUUCUACUAGCCAUUGGGGUCUCGGACGCUUUAUUGGCGCAGAUAACUCGAUAACUAGCCCGCCUAGGAGGUACGGUCCCAGGACUAAAACUCAAGGAAUUGGGCGGGGGCGGGCCCAGGCGGGAACAAGGGGGUUUAAUUCAAUGCAACGGAAAGAACCUUACCGGCUCUGCCAUAGUAAUAAAUUUCCAAAGAUGGAUUUUUUCCUUCGGGAACUUACAUACAGGUGCUGCAUGGCUGUCGUCAGCUCGUGUCUGAGAUGUUGGGUUAAGUCCCGCAACAAGGGCAACCCUUUUCCUUAUUUGCCAGCGUUUUAAAGCGCGAACUUUAAAGAUACCCCAGUCACAAACUGGAAGAAGGCGGAGACGACGUCAAAUCAUCAUGGCCCUUACGACCAGGCUACACACGUGCCACAAUGGUCGGUACAAAGGGUGCUACCUCGCGAGGGGCUGCUUUCUCAAAAAACCGCUCGUAGUCCGGAUUGGAGUCUCAACUCAACUCCAGAAAUGGGAAAGCGAGAGGAGUGCACCC
rnacentral:rRNA from 1 species